rnacentral:rRNA from 1 species
AGUGGCGAACGGGUGAGUAACGCGUGAGUAUCUGCCCUUAGGAGGGGGACAACAGUUGGAAACGACUGCUAAUACCCCAUAUGUCUACGGAUGAAAGAUUUUAUCGCCUGAGGAUGAACUCGCGUCUGAUUAGCUAGUUGGUGAGGUAAUGGCUCACCAAGGCAACGAUCAGUAGCUGGUCUGAGAGGAUGAUCAGCCACACUGGGACUGAGACACGGCCCAGACUCCUACGGGAGGCAGCAGUGGGGAAUUUUCCGCAAUGGGGGCAACCCUGACGGAGCAAUACCGCGUGCGGGAGGACGGCCUGUGGGUUGUAAACCGCUUUUCUCAGGGAAGAAGACCUGACGGUACCUGAGGAAUCAGCAUCGGCUAACUCCGUGCCAGCAGCCGCGGUAAUACGGAGGAUGCAAGCGUUAUCCGGAAUUAUUGGGCGUAAAGCGUCCGUAGGUGGUUAAUCAAGUCUGCUGUUAAAGAGCGGAGCUUAACUCCGUUUAAGCGGUGGAAACUGGUUGACUAGAGAGUGGUAGGGGUAGAGGGAAUUCCCAGUGUAGCGGUGAAAUGCGUAGAUAUUGGGAAGAACACCGGUGGCGAAAGCGCUCUACUGGGCCACAUCUGACACUGAUGGACGAAAGCUAGGGUAGCGAAAGGGAUUAGAUACCCC